GACGAACGCUGGCGGCGUGCUUAACACAUGCAAGUCGAGCGAUGAAGCUCCUUCGGGAGUGGAUUAGCGGCGGACGGGUGAGUAACACGUGGGUAACCUGCCUCAUAGAGGGGAAUAGCCUUCCGAAAGGAAGAUUAAUACCGCAUAAGAUUGUAGUUCCGCAUGGGACAGCAAUUAAAGGAGUAAUCCGCUAUGAGAUGGACCCGCGUCGCAUUAGCUAGUUGGUGAGGUAACGGCUCACCAAGGCGACGAUGCGUAGCCGGCCUGAGAGGGUGAUCGGCCACAUUGGGACUGAGACACGGCCCAGACUCCUACGGGAGGCAGCAGUGGGGAAUAUUGCACAAUGGGGGAAACCUUGAUGCAGCAACGCCGCGUGAGUGAUGACGGUCUUCGGAUUGUAAAACUCUGUCUUUGGGGACGAUAAUGACGGUACCCAAGGAGGAAGCCACGGCUAACUACGUGCCAGCCGCCGCCGUAAGAC
rnacentral:rRNA from 1 species